UGGGGAAUAUUGGGCAAUGGGGGAAACCCUGACCCAGCAACGCCGCGUGAGGGAGGAAGGCCUUCGGGUUGUAAACCUCUGUCCUUGGGGACGAAAAAAAUGACGGUACCCAAGGAGGAAGCUCCGGCUAACUACGUGCCAGCAGCCGCGGUAAUACGUAGGGAGCAAGCGUUGUCCGGAAUUACUGGGCGUAAAGGGUGCGUAGGCGGCACAUUAAGUCAGAUGUGAAAUACCCGGGCUUAACUCGGGGGGUGCAUCUGAUACUGGUGAGCUUGAGUGCAGGAGAGGAAAGCGGAAUUCCUAGUGUAGCGGUGAAAUGCGUAGAUAUUAGGAGGAACAUCAGUGGCGAAGGCGGCUUUCUGGACUGUAACUGACGCUGAGGCACGAAAGCGUGGGGAGCAAACAGG
rnacentral:rRNA from 1 species